rnacentral:rRNA from 1 species
AACAAACGCUGGCGGCGUGCCUAAUACAUGCAAGUCGAACGGGUAGCAAUACCAGUGGCGCACGGGUGAGGAAUACAUAGAUAAUCUGCCUUCGAGUCGGGGAUAACCAGUCGAAAGAUUGGCUAAUACCGGAUAAGACCACAGGAGCUGAGGCUCUGGGGGUUAAAGGUUUUUGGCUUGUAGAUGAGUCUAUGCGAGAUUAGCUAGUUGGUGAGGUAAUGGCUCACCAAGGCGACGAUCUCUAACUGGUCUUAGAGGAUGAUCAGUCACACUGGAACUGAGACACGGUCCAGACUCCUACGGGAGGCAGCAGUAGGGAAUAUUGCGCAAUGGGGGAAACCCUGACGCAGCGACGCCGCGUGGGUGAUGAAGGCCUUCGGGUCGUAAAGCUCUGUCGUAUGGGAAUAACACAAUGAAUGUACCAUGCAAGAAAGGAUCGGCUAACUUCGUGCCAGCAGCCGCCGUAAUAC